rnacentral:rRNA from 1 species
GAUGAACGCUAGCGGCAGGCUUAACACAUGCAAGUCGAGGGGCAGCACUAGGUAGCAAUACUGAGGUCGGCGACCGGCGACACGGGUGCGUAACGCGUAUCCAACCUUCCCGAUACUCUUGGAUAGCCUUCCGAAAGGGAGAUUAAUACAAGAUGGUGUUUCACUUUCGCAUGUUAUUGAAACUAAAGAUUUAUCGGUAUCGGAUGGGGAUGCGUGACAUUAGAUAGUAGGCGGGGUAAUGGCCCACCUAGUCUACGAUGUCUAGGGGUUCUGAGAGGAAGGUCCCCCACACUGGAACUGAGACACGGUCCAGACUCCUACGGGAGGCAGCAGUGAGGAAUAUUGGUCAAUGGUCGAGAGACUGAACCAGCCAAGUCGCGUGAGGGAUGACUGCCCUAUGGGUUGUAAACCUCUUUUGUUUGGGAAGAAUAAGUUUUACGUGUAGAACGAUGCCGGUACCAAACGAAUAAGCAUCGGCUAACUCCGUG